rnacentral:tRNA from 1 species
UAGGAAGUAGUGUAAUGGAAGCGCUAGGAGUUUUGAUCUCCUGAGUAUGGGUUCGAGUCCCUUCUUUCUAA